UACGAAGGGGGGCUAGCGUUGCUCGGAAUCACUGGGCGUAAAGCGCACGUAGGCGGAUUGUUAAGUCAGGGGUGAAAUCCUGGAGCUCAACUCCAGAACUGCCUUUGAUACUGGCGAUCUCGAGUCCGGGAGAGGUGAGUGGAACUGCGAGUGUAGAGGUGAAAUUCGUAGAUAUUCGCAAGAACACCAGUGGCGAAGGCGGCUCACUGGCCCGGUACUGACGCUGAGGUGCGAAAGCGUGGGGAGCAAACAGG
rnacentral:rRNA from 1 species